rnacentral:rRNA from 1 species
UACGUAGGGUGCAAGCGUUGUCCGGAAUUAUUGGGCGUAAAGAGCUCGUAGGCGGUCUGUCGCGUCGGCUGUGAAAACCCGUGGCUCAACCCCGGGCCUGCAGUCGAUACGGGCAGACUAGAGUGCGGUAGGGGAGACUGGAAUUCCUGGUGUAGCGGUGAAAUGCGCAGAUAUCAGGAGGAACACCGAUGCGAAGGCAGGUCUCUGGGCCACUACUGACGCUGAGAAGCGAAAGCAUGGGGAGCGAACAGG